GCUAACUUCAACAAUACAUAUACUAAAAUUAGAAUGACACAGAGAAGAUUAGCAUGGCUCUGAACAAGGAUGAUAUGCAGAUUUGUGAAGCGGUCCAUAUUUUU